rnacentral:rRNA from 1 species
UGGGGAAUCUUGGACAAUGGGCGAAAGCCUGAUGGAGCAACGCCGCGUGUGUGAUGAAGGGUUUCGGCUCGUAAAACACUGUUGUAAGAGAAGAAUGACAUUGAGAGUAACUGUUCAAUGUGUGACGGUAUCUUACCAGAAAGGAACGGCUAAAUACGUGCCAG